AAUUAUAUAGUUUAAAUAAAACUAUACACUUUCAUUGUAUCAAUAAUACUUCAGUAUUUAUAAUUA
rnacentral:tRNA from 2 species